CUUCAUACCCACACACACCGUUAUAUAAUAGCAUGUGAAAGUUGCGAUUCGUUACCAGGAAAGCGAAGAUGCUUGCCCUUCACCUUCAUUAGCGACUGAAGAGCCUGCAUAACCCUCUUUUAAUCACCCUCUCAAAUCCCCCUUCAGGUCCAGGUUUCCACUCAAAUCCCCCUUCAGGUCCAGGUUUCCACAGCAGUGAACAACCAACGGCGGAUUGGGGCUUCAACACUGGAAUAGAGUCCUGCCACCACCACCGACGAUCCACGAUUUACUCUGCCCUUACUGACAGUCACCUAAGGAAAAAAACAAGUAAGAAUCUAUCUCCCGUUUUCUCGUAUCAACAAUUUCUACAAUUUGACACCCUUUUAUUUAAAUGUCAGCUUGAUUAGUUCUAGACUCAACAUUGACAUUUACUGUAAACUCCAUGAGAAAAAACGAGUCAUUUGUAUAAUUGUAUGUUAGAUUAAUUAAGCAUUAUCAACAUUGUGCCCACAAGGUGUUUGAUAUAAUGUCCGAAUGAAAGAAUUGUGAUCAAAUGAGCAUGAGACCACCACCUUAUCCAAUAGCUGUACUGAGAGGUCAUCGUGUUUCUGUUAUGGAUGUUUGUUUUCAUCCUUCUCAUAAUUUGGUGUUCGGUAAAUAUAUUAAUCAUGUUUUGAAGCAUUGUUAAAUUAUGUCGCAAUUUAUAAUCCAAACUAUUUUAUUUAUAUUAAUUUUCUAAUUUCCUCUUUUCUCUUGUUUGCACAUUGGGCUGAUGGUUAUUUUGGCUUCAUGUUGGGCUGGCUUUGUUGGUCAAAGUUGUCAAGGCUUUAUUCUAAGUCAAAGAUUACGUUAAUUACCGAAAAAUGAGAGUUAUAACGUGGUUUCACCAAACUACAUGUUAACACACCAAUCUAACAUCAAUGAGAAGAUGAGAGCCAUGCUAAUGGACUGCCUUAUCGAGGUACCGUCAAAGACCCUUUUUUAAUAACUACUAAAAAAAUUUGAAAAUAACCAGGUGCACUAGAAAGAAGUUGCAACUGGUUGGUAUUGGUGGUGUUGAGUGGUGACUUGGUUGUGGUGGUGAAUGGCUACAACGCUGGAUUGAACACCGACGGAGCUUGAAAGUGAUUUUCUAAUUUAACUCGGUUUCAUCAGUUAUUCAUCAAUCGAAGUUAGCGGUUAGGGAAGAUCAAACGUAUUCCAGAGUUUACGUUUUUGUGUUAUAUGAAUCUGAUCGAAUGCCUUUUCUCAAACAAAAUCAUUAUACUCCGGUCAAGCCGUUGACCGUGUCGGCUGCGGUCUCUCACUUCUUUGAAGAACGAGGUGUUGACUGCUAACUGUUUGCGAAAACAUGCCAAUGGGAACUUCAAAUUUUGAUAUGAAAAAAGCUCUUGAGUCACAAGAAAUUCUUGUUCGCUUGGCCUGUUGCUCGACAGGAGCAUGGGAUGUUGUUACAGAGGCAAGAUUCAUUCAAGCAGAAGUUUGGAACCUUAGACGAUCAUAAUACCGACGGUCUACAGGAUUCUACUGAGAAUUUGUAGCCAAUUUGACUACUUAUGGGUUUCAAUGAAGAAAACAAAGCUAAGAAAGGAAUCCACAUAAACCCCAAGAAAUCGCCUCAGGUGGGCUUUUUGAUAAAGCGUGAGAUGUCGAAAUCCAAGAGAGAUCCAGUAGCUUUGUCAAAAAAAAAAAAAAGAGGAAUGGAGCAUAAAGAGAACAUACUGACCAGCUUUGAGAACAUGAGGAAACUCAAGUUUAAGCAUCUCAGAGAGCAACUCAAAUCCACUAGCAGGAAUAGGCCCAUCUGUUAGAAGAUUAUGUGUUCAAGAAAAAGAGAUAAAUGGUGCGGAGAUUAAGGCAAGUUUUGUUGUCCAUCAGGAUGUUAAGAGGAAGAGCCACCGAUGUUACACUUGGAUGGUCAGUUGCUCAUGGCCCACCUUUUACAUUUGCAACUACACUAGAACAUGAGUAUGAAAGUGAUAUAUUUGGAGAAAGAGGUCGGCUUCAUUCUUUGUAGAAAUAAGCUCAGAUACAAGACCAAAUUUUUAUUUCCAAACACAAAUACCCGCAGCAACGUGCGGGCAUUCCCACUAGUUAAUAUUAAACGUUAAGCCGUUUACUUGCCCAGUAGCCGGACUACGUUCUAGAAAGACCGUCUUGCUUUUGACUAUUUAACCCAUUUUUUUUUCAAAAAAAAAUUUAACCCAUUUUAUAUAUUAUAUAUCGGGGUAGGCCGCCGGCUAAUUGUAGGCGGCUUGUCAAACUAUUAUUUCUACGUUAUACAUAUUCUAAACCAUAUAAUUAAAAAAAAGCCAUAUAAUUAAAUAAAUUAUAUUACAUAACAACAUAUUUGGAAUUUUAUGCAUUGAAAUAGAAUAUUUAUAAUAAAUUUCGUAUGCGUAGUUCUAAAUUAAAAAAUGUUAAUUAUUCAAGCAUAGAUUAUAAAUGAUUGUUAAUUAUUAAAUACGGUGUUUGUGUAACUAACAGUGAAAUAAAAGUUGUACUUUAUUUUGAAUUUGAAUAUAUGUACAUUGUGAUCUAUAUAUUUAUAAUUCAUUAAUACAUUAAUACAAAACUUAUUUAUUUUGAUCCAUGUAGUUAUGUCUUGAUAGCAUUACUUUUCUUUAAUGUGAUUCAUAAGUUAUCUUUUUUUUUUUUAAUGGCAAGGAACAACAUGCCAACCAUCGUGACAUCGGGCGUUGUGCCCAAGGUCGACUAUUCGACCGCCAUUAGCCCUUUGGCUCUCCCCAGACACGCAGAAACCCGCCUGAAGGCUCGCAGAGGAAUAACGGUAAAAUCUCACCUUUCAUCCAAGUCGACCCGACGCCACCCGUAUUCGCUCUUCACCUGGAUACCGCAGAAAAUAGUGAGGAGAGUGGAAAUCGAACAUGGGUCACAAAGAACACCAAUUUUUUCCUCAACCACUCCACCACUACCUCAUUGGCAUCUUUUUUUGUUUUAUUUUCGUCUUUAGUAAGUAUAAUUUAAGAUUAUUAAUCAACAAUCAAAUACUUCUAAUAAAUGAUAUGCUAAAUACAAUGUUGUAAAGACUAAAGAGUAUGUGAAAAGAGACAAAUGAAUGAAAGCUUUGUCUUCUGUGUAAA